rnacentral:rRNA from 1 species
AUUGAACGCUGGCGGCAUGCUUUACACAUGCAAGUCGAGCGGCAGCACGGGGGCAACCUGGUGGCGAGUGGCGAACGGGUGAGUAAUACAUCGGAACGUGCCCAAUCGUGGGGGAUAACGUAGCGAAAGUUACGCUAAUACCGCAUACGAUCUACGGAUGAAAGCGGGGGAUCGCAAGACCUCGCGCGAGUGGAGCGGCCGAUGUCAGAUUAGGUAGUUGGUGGGGUAAAGGCUCACCAAGCCAACGAUCUGUAGCUGGUCUGAGAGGACGACCAGCCACACUGGAACUGAGACACGGUCCAGACUCCUACGGGAGGCAGCAGUGGGGAAUUUUGGACAAUGGGCGCAAGCCUGAUCCAGCCAUUCCGCGUGCAGGAUGAAGGCCUUCGGGUUGUAAACUGCUUUGUUACGGAACGAAACGGACGAGCUCUAAUACAGUUUGCUAAUGACGGUACCGUAAGAAUAAGCACCGGCUAACUACGUGCCAGCAGCCGCGGUAAU